UCUGCCUGCAGCUAGACCAGGAAGAAAGGAGACUGAGCAGAGGAAAUGAAAGAGUAAAGGAGAGGAGAGAGUGGGUAGGACACAAAGCUGAGGUGACUGAAGCAGCAGGAAGUAGGCAGGGCAUGAAGAAUUGGGAUUCAAAGCCCUUGAAUUUAGUUCCCAACUUCACUUAUGGGGCAAUGCUCCAAGUCACUCAGUCACCCUGAACUUCAGCUGGAGAAGGGGAACAGGAAUAAUGCCUAUCUUCCAGGAGUGUUCUGCACAAAACUGAAGGCACAGAUGAAAAAGCACUCUGCAAAUUAAAAGAGAAGGAUGGAUAGAGAAAAGCAUCAUUACAAAAGUGAAAUGUGUGAAUUUUAUUCUGGCUUUGAACAUUGAGUAGACGAAGAAGACAAUUCCAGACGGAGGAAACUCCACAAGAAAUAUCAUGGAAAUUUGAAAGAACACAGUGGGCUUGGGAAGAGAGAUCUCAGUGGUGGAAGCACCAUCAUCCCAAGGAGACUUAGGAAAAAGACAAGGCCCUGCUCUGAGGAGUGAAGACACAAUCCAGCAGGCAGGAGGGAUGGCUAAGUUCAAAGUCUUGAGAAGUGCCCCUCAUGGACACCCCAGGGUGCCCAUCUCCAGGUUACCACCAGGUGCUUCCAAGACCAAGAUAACCAGGCAAUCAUAGUAGAUGCAUCAAUGCACCCUUGCCCAAGGGCCUAGACAAGAGGUAUUGUUUAGCUUCGCAUGAAUUUUAUCACCUUGCCUAGAACCAGCCACCAUCUGCCAGGGCUCCUGACUUUUUCUGAAAUGAAUAGACACUAAAGCCUGCUGGGGAAUUUCAUGGAAAUCAAGAUGACUCAACCCAGAGUCCAUUUCAAGGCUAGGAUGCUAGAGGACGCCAACAAAGGAGUAGGGAAGUGAAACGGAUCAGCUCACAUCCAAGCCCUUGCAUGAUCAAUCCUGCAGUAGGAGUGCUGCUCAGUUGGGACUCAUGAGAGCCCGGAAGAGGAAAAAGCAGCUCUAAGCAUAGCAAAGAAGCUGUUAUGGAAAAGACCCAAAUGUUAAAAUGGUGGACAUAGUAAAGUGAUUGGUUCUGCUUAGGGGAAUCUAGAUCCCCACAUUUUGACCUCCACUGGAGUCUCAGAAGAACAAGUGCCAGGGGGGCUUGCCACAGAGGCCAAGGCAGUGAAUGUCAGGCACAUCACAGUCCCCAAGAUGGGGAGAAGACUGAGAUGCAGGGUAACAACUGCAAUCCAUUCAUGGGAGCCAUGUUUAUCUUAAAUCAUUGACAGUGAGAUAAGGAUCAUGUCAGCCUUCAUACCUUUGAUGAUGAUCCCAGGCUGCAACAGUGACACAUAGAACUGGAUUCAGUAACUAACUACAGAUUCCAUCAACCAGGACUAGUAAAGUGAAAGGCAGAAAUUGGGAGGAGGGGUUUCUUUCUUGCUUAUAAAACUUUAUUUGGUUGUGUUGAGUAUGUGCAUGUAUGUAUGAAAUCCCAUAAAGCAGUCUUCUUAGGAACAAGCCAACAUGCCACAAUGUAGGAGAUCUUUGGAGCACUGGCCUAAAUGGCAGAGAGCUCAAGGGACUCUGCUUUGUACAAGGCAUGAUUUGUACCACCACCACUAUCCCUGUUUCAGAGCACUGUUGAAUUGUUCCAAACCUGGAUUUCUAUGUCAGCUCCCUGUCUAUAGUACUUGACUGAUAAAUGCUAGUUUCUGAAAUCUGCUUUGGUUCUAUAAUUUAUUAGACAGCUUUUUCUUCCCAUUUUAUUACUUGUUUUUACUGUCAUUGGUAUAUUAUCUCUUACAGUGAAAACAUUCAUAGGCUGAUUGAAGAGAAGAUCUGAAAUUAUUAGGCAGCAAGCAUACAAAACCCUUGCUUUAUAAAGAUAAUAUCUUAAAGGCCUAAUGUCUAUGGUUCAAAGCAGCCUGGAGAUGUUGGCUAAAUCUUCCAUCAUAGAGUCCUCAUGGGAUCUGGAAGCUCUGAUUUAUCUUCCUUCAGGCCCUAUAAGUUAGCUUUCCACAUCUGUAGGUUCCACAAUCAACCUUGGAUCAAAAACAUUUGAAA
rnacentral:lncRNA from 10 species